AUGUUCAUGUGGCUCCAGUAGUGGGAUCAUUAGCCCACCUGCCUCUGGGAGGACGUCUUCAUGGCUGCCAGGCUGUGCUCGUCAGAUGCUGAAGAAGCACUGUUGGGGGCCCCUGGUCUCAGAAGUUUUGUCAGCCUGACUUCUGAGAGAUACCACCAGAAGAGCUACAUCCACCUCCGUGUUUCUCCUCUGGUUCCGGGGGGCCGUGCACUUUCCUUUAGAACAUCCGUCUGCAUCCCACAUCCCCGCCCCCCCCCCCCCGCCCACAUGCCUCUUUUUCCUGUUUAGCUUGGAUGGCAGGCCGGCUCUGGCCAUCAGAACCAUUGCUGACCUUGGCCGUCUUCACCUGCUGGGCAGACACAAAGUGAGGGCAACAUCUGGACCCAGAGGAGAAAUUAGAGGCCAUUCGUGGAAGCACGCAGGAGGCCGGAAGACCUCUGUCCAAGGCCAAAACACCACACCAUUGUUUUCCAGUUCCAAACAGGAAGGGAACCUGGGUGUGCUUGGGCAGAGGAAAGGGAACCUGAGGUGGAUAUAAGUGUGGCAAGUAAUCUCGAGUUUAAAAGGGGCCACAGUCUCUUCUAAUAAACAGUGUAUAAUGUUCUGUAUCCUGA
rnacentral:lncRNA from 1 species